rnacentral:lncRNA from 1 species
AUUUGUCUCCCAUCGAUUUCGUCCUGACUGCAGCGUGCGCUUUGGUUGUUGCUGAUGUCGCUCUCCUGUGGUUGCACGUGUCGCCCUCUCGUGGCUCCACCUCUCUCUCCCUUCUCCCUCCCACCGUAACCCCUGUCUGUCCAUCCGUUACCUUCGCCUUCGGUUACUGCAGAUUGUGACCAUGUGAAUGUGCGGCGUCGCCCUGGCUCUCCUCGCGACUCUGCUGCUCCAGGCCGUCGUCCCUAAGUCGGCGGCGGAGGGCCUUGUGCGGGUCGCGGCUAAGUCGGCGGCGGAGGGCCUUGUGCGGGUCGCGGAGAAGGAGCCCGCCGACUAGAUCGACCAUGUCGCCACGCGUCUCCUCCGCGUUGCCAGCGCCCUAGACUCGGGCCGCAAUGACGACUUCGAUGCUUGCAUCUCAGCUUUGAGCCAUGCUAGGAGCAUAGGAGUUCCUCUACUGCUGAAUAGUCAAUCUUCGUUACCAAGAUCUGAACCUUCAUUUUCUAUGAAAACCGGAUUGCAGGUAACGAACAUAUCUCUACUCUUGUCUUUUUUUUCUCAGCUUUGUUGAUUUUUUAUUCGUAUCUGACCGGGAGAGCUUAGUAACCUAGUGAAGAGGUGAAUGCUUGAGAACAGGCAAAGCAAAUACUUGGAUUUUUGAAGGACGACAUGCUGUAGAGCUUCUGGUAGGCAAACAACAUAUUCUUAUAUAUGUAAUGAAAUGGCUAAUAAACAUGUCAUGUGUUCGCCAUAUAAAAGACAGGAAAACGAUCACCUACUGACAUCUAAAGCUAUUCUAUAUUCAUUAUUCAACUCUUACUUAUUUCUUUUACUUAUUUCCUUUCUCCCACUUUAUUUCUGCUUGCUCAAGUGGAUUUGAUUUAUUUAGCCCCACUGUUCAUUAACUUGAGUUAUUUGCGUUAGUAGUUAUACAUGUUCUCAUUACCUCGCUCAAAAUCCACAUCUUGAGUCGCAUUUGCGUCAGGCCCCCGAUAUCGCCAGCUGUCGUUGGCCACGCGCUUGCGCCGCUGUGGUAGAGAGGGCAAAUUAGUAGACGUUCAAUUGAAGUCCUGUGUUCCCAGCUCUCAGCAUAGCAACAUAUUCGUCCUACUUUUUUUGCAACUGAAGCAGAAAAACUGCUAUUUCAUUUAAGAUUGUAAAGGAUCAAAGUCUGAAAUGGUACUGAAAUUUCUUCGGUUGGCGUUCCAUCCUUCUUCUUGCAGGUCUGUAGAAUUAUGUACCACAAUGCUGAUUUAUGCGUGAGUAAGACCCUCUACUUGCAGCUUUCUUCUAUUAAAGAUGACAACCAUUUUGUUUGUUCAUCGAAGUUUCCAUAUCAAAUAGUCUGCUGUUGUGUUCAGGUAGUUAUGGCUUUAUUUCUUAAUGCCUGUAGAAUUAUGCAUUCAUUCCUUUGCUGCUUGCAUUGUCAGGGAUGGUUUCUUUGAUUAACUUGAACAAUAAAAUCGGCGUGGUACUUUUAUCUAUUUGUCUUUGACCAUGGGUUUUGUUUUCUCUGACAUAUCUACGUGUGAUAUCUUGCAUGCAAAUUU